UACGUAGGGUGCAAGCGUUGUCCGGAAUUAUUGGGCGUAAAGAGCUCGUAGGCGGUCUGUCGCGUCUGCUGUGAAAACUCGGGGCUUAACCCCGGGCCUGCAGUGGGUACGGGCAGACUAGAGUGAUGUAGGGGAGACUGGAAUUCCUGGUGUAGCGGUGAAAUGCGCAGAUAUCAGGAGGAACACCGAUGGCGAAGGCAGCUCGCUGGGACGGUACUGACGCUGAGACGCGAAAGCGUGGGGAGCAAACAGG
rnacentral:rRNA from 1 species